UACGUAGGGCGCAAGCGUUGUCCGGAAUUAUUGGGCGUAAAGAGCUCGUAGGCGGCUUGUCACGUCGGGUGUGAAAGCCCGGGGCUUAACCCCGGGUCUGCAUUCGAUACGGGCAGGCUAGAGUGUGGUAGGGGAGAUCGGAAUUCCUGGUGUAGCGGUGAAAUGCGCAGAUAUCAGGAGGAACACCGGUGGCGAAGGCGGAUCUCUGGGCCAUUACUGACGCUGAGGAGCGAAAGCCAGGGGAGCAAACGGG
rnacentral:rRNA from 1 species